rnacentral:tRNA from 2 species
GCGGGCGUAGCUCAAUUGGUUAGAGCGCCUGGUUGUGGUCCAGGAGGUUGCGGGUUCAAGUCCCGUCGUUCGCCCCA